UACAUAAUAAAUUCUUAUUCCCAUCACUGUUGGCAUUGAUAUAUGAUAUUCCCAUAGCUAAAAUCCCUUCACCACUCCAUACACUUAUAUUUAUCCCUUUCAUGUUAAUAUCACAACAAUAUUAAAGAGUAAUACCCAGAAUGCACAAAAAGAACAUACACACUGAAAUACAGAAGAUACAGCAGAGAAGGAAUACACAGAAGGGAGAGGAACACACUAGGUGCAAUUUCCAGUAAGAGAAUAUAAGAGGCACAUUCACUUAUACAUCCAGCAAAGGCAUAAGAUCCUAAAGUUGGAGGCGGUGUCGGUGGAACUUGUGAAGUUACCAUGAACCAAACCCAACACUCACCGAGUUGUGGAUAA